rnacentral:rRNA from 1 species
AGCGAACGCUGGCGGCAGGCUUAACACAUGCAAGUCGAGCGGGCACUUUCGGGUGUCAGCGGCGGACGGGUGAGUAACGCGUGGGAACGUGCCCUCUGGUUCGGAAUAACUCAGGGAAACUUGAGCUAAUACCGGAUACGCCCUUUUGGGGAAAGGCUUGCUGCCGGACGAUCGGCCCGCGUCUGAUUAGCUAGUUGGUGAGGUAACGGCUCACCAAGGCGACGAUCAGUAGCUGGUCUGAGAGGAUGAUCAGCCACACUGGGACUGAGACAUGGCCCAGACUCCUACGGGAGGCAGCAGUGGGGAAUAUUGGACAAUGGGCGCAAGCCUGAUCCAGCCAUGCCGCGUGAGUGAUGAAGGCCUUAGGGUUGUAAAGCUCUUUUAUCCGGGACGAUAAUGACGGUACCGGAGGAAUAAGCCCCGGCUAACUUCGUG